GUCCAUGUGGCUUAGUUGGGAAAACACCUGACUAAGGUGCGGUAGAACUCGGGUUCGAUCCCCGCUGAAGGCAUGGGUG